rnacentral:rRNA from 1 species
CCUACGGGAGGCAGCAGUGAGGAAUAUUGGUCAAUGGACGAGAGUCUGAACCAGCCAAGUAGCGUGAAGGAUGACUGCCCUAUGGGUUGUAAACUUCUUUUAUAUGGGAAUAAAACGUUCCACGUGUGGGAUUUUGUAUGUACCAUAUGAAUAAGGAUCGGCUAACUCCGUGCCAGCAGCCGCGGUAAUACGGAGGUUCCGAGCGUUAUCCGGAUUUAUUGGGUUUAAAGGGAGCGUAGGUGGAUUGUUAAGUCAGUUGUGAAAGUUUGCGGCUCAACCGUAAAAUUGCAGUUGAAACUGGCAGUCUUGAGUACAGUAGAGGUGGGCGGAAUUCGUGGUGUAGCGGUGAAAUGCUUAGAUAUCACGAAGAACUCCGAUUGCGAAGGCAGUUCACUGGACUGCAACUGACACUGAGGCUCGAAAGUGUGGGUAUCAAACAGGAUUAGAUACCCGUGUAGUC